GUUUGUCGUUUUGCCAGUCAUCCAUUCCUUCCCUCCAACACGCCGGAUUGUUUAUCGGUGUUUUUCAUCGCGAAUAUUCUGUUUACGACGUACUGUCCAAGAUGCCCAAGUCUCUUUCGCGGUUUGGUAUGGACAAUACAGCAGGUCCCACCACGCAUUCGUUGGACACAAAACAAAUCAUUGGAAUGGUGUCAAAUGUCGAAUACCAGAUUUCUCAAUUAUUUGGGUAACCGACAGCAAAGUUUACCUUUGAACUGGGGACAAAGGACCAAUGCGAGUCUGCUAAAUAAUUACCGUGAUCUUUUUCAUGUUCAUGAAUUUGCAUUUGGAGAGAUUGAAUGAUAAAAUCUUGUUAAAUUGUCCGAUAAGGUUGGGUCAAAUGGAGUCGAACAAAAAUGACAAUGUUUGAUGAUUAAAGAAGAAAUACAUUCUCUUGAAGUAAAAA